UUCCGUAGGUGAACCUGCGGAAGGAUCAUUGAAUAUGCAAACCACAACACGCACUCCCUAUUUGUGUACCGACGUUAGGUCAACACACGCAAGUGUGUGGCCUACUAACCUACACACCAUUGACCAACCAAUAAUCAAACCAAACUCUGAAGCUUUGGCUGCUGUUAAUCGGCAGUUUUAACAAAGAACAACUCUCAACAACGGAUAUCUUGGCUCUCGCAACGAUGAAGAACGCAGCGAAAUGCGAUACGUAGUGUGAAUUGCAGAAUUCCGUGAACCAUCGAAUCUUUGAACGCAUAUUGCGCUCGACCCCCCGGGGAAGAGCAUGUCUGCCUCAGCGUCGGUUUACACCCUCACCCCACUUACUUCACAGUAAGCGCUUGCUGCGUUGUAUGACCAGCAACUGGGAUGGAUCUGGCCCUCCCAAUUGAAGCAAUUCGAUUGGGUUGGCUGAAGCACAGAGGCUUAAACUGGGACCCGUACCGGGCUCAACUGGAUAGGUAGCAACACCUUCGGGUGCCUACACGAAGUUGUGUCUGAGGACCUGGUUAGGAGCCAAGCAGGAAACAUGGAAACAUGUACUCUGUAUUCGACCUGAGCUCAGGCAAGGCUACCCGCUGAACUUAAGCAUAUCAAUAAGCGGAGG
rnacentral:rRNA from 1 species